GAUCCUUGGCGUGAGCCGAUACCCUUUUACCUCCUGGCUCCCGCUUAACAUCACUGAUGCUGUUCCUCUUCUUGGACUCCAUCUCCCACAGUCUUCAAGGUUUCUCAUCCUAGCUCAUCCUAGUCAUCAGGAUGAAUACAGAGUAAGCCUGUACCCCAUCAAUCACAUGUUUGCACCCCCGAGGGGUGGUAUGAAGCCCAUC